AGAGAACUGAAAAUAGUGGAAGAAGGAAGAAAGAAAGCCUUAUUCUCAAGACUCCGCCAGAUGCAGGACACUAUGUGAGAUGAUACGCCAUGGAGAUCUUGGGCAAGAAGCUGAGUGGAUGACCCCACCAUCACUUAGGUACGAUCCACUUCCUCUUCGGUAGUGGAGCUUUAUAGUAUGUUUCUCAGGCUGACCAUGUGGAGACAGAACUGGCCAGUUGCUGUUGCUGUUACCAUGUAGAAACUGUCUUUCUCUGCCCCAG
rnacentral:lncRNA from 10 species